GGCAACGUGUUCCGGUCCUCUUCCACAUCACGGAAGAUUUGCUCUUUCCUCUUUGCGAUGAAUCUUGCUGCUGGUCACCCUUUGGGUCCACACAGCAUUUAUGAGCUGUAACUUUCAGUGCGAAGGUCUGCAGCUUCAUUCCUGAAGCCAGCGAGACCACAAACCCACCGGGAGGAAAGAACAGCUCCAGGCGCGCCGCCUUAAGCGCUGUAGCACUCACCGCGAAGGUCUGCAGCUUCACUCCUGAGCCAGCGAGACGACGAACCCACCGGGAGGAACGAACAACUCCAGGCGCGCCGCCUUAAGAGCUGUAACACUCACUGCGAAGGUCCGCAGCUUCACUCCUGAGCCAGCGAGACCACGAACCCACCAGACGGAAGAAACUCUGAACACAUCCAAACAUCAGAAGGAACAAACUCCGGACACGCCUCCUUUAAGAACUGGAAAGACUCACCGCGAGGGUCCGUGGCUUCAUUCUUGAAGUCAGUGAGACCAGGAACCCACCAAUUCCGGACGCACUUCCUCCGGACUGUUGGUGCACUGAGUGAUCUGAAGUGCUCCCUGGCCACCAUGAAUGUAAGCAGAGAUGGUGUCUCACUUUGUUGUGCAGGCUGGAAUGCAGUGGCACAAUCAUAGCUCACUGCCGCCUCGAACCCUUGGACUCAAGCAAUCCUCCUGCCUCAGCCUCCCAAAGUACUGGGAUUACAGGUAUGA
rnacentral:lncRNA from 1 species